rnacentral:rRNA from 1 species
AGGAUGAACGCUGGCGGCGUGCUUAACACAUGCAAGUCGAACGAUGAAGCCGGAGCUUGCUCUGGUGGAUUAGUGGCGAACGGGUGAGUAACACGUGAGUAACCUGCCCUUGACUCUGGAAUAAGCGUUGGAAACGACGUCUAAUACUGGAUACGAGCUUCAGCCGCAUGGCUAGGAGCUGGAAAGAAUUUCGGUCAAGGAUGGACUCGCGGCCUAUCAGGUAGUUGGUGAGGUAAUAGCUCACCAAGCCUACGACGGGUAGCCGGCCUGAGAGGGUGACCGGCCACACUGGAACUGAGACACGGUCCAGACUCCUACGGGAGGCAGCAGUGGGGAAUAUUGCACAAUGGGCGCAAGCCUGAUGCAGCAACGCCGCGUGAGGGACGACGGCCUUCGGGUUGUAAACCUCUUUUAGUAGGGAAGAAGCGAAAGUGACGGUACCUGCAGAAAAAGCACCGGCUAACUACGUGCCAGC